UGAUGACGAGACGCUAAGGCGUUGAAGCAGUGUAUGUCAGACUUCCAAGAAAAGCUCGCAAUGUCAUAAAUAAAAAGUGCCUGUACCAUAACCGACACAGGUGGGUAGGUAGAGUAUACUAAGGGGCGCGAGAUAACUCUCUCUAAGGAACUCGGCAAAAUGACUCCGUAACUUCGGGAGAAGGAGUGCCUUAUUUAUAAGGUUGCAAUAACAAGAUCCAAGCAACUGUUUAUCAAAAACACAGGUCUCCGCUAAGUCGUAAGACGAUGUAUGGGGGCUGACGCCUGCCCAGUGCCAGAAGGUUAAAGAAGUUGGUUAGUGUAUGCGAAGCUGAUGACUGAAGCCCUGGUGAACGGCGGCCGUAACAAUAACGGUCCUAAGGUAGCGAAAUCCCUUGUCGGGUAAGUUCCGACCCGCACGAAAGGCGUAAUGAUUUGGAUACUGUCUCGGAGAGAGGCUCGGUGAAAUAGACUUGUCUGUGAAGAUGCGGACUACCUGCACCAGGACAGAAAGACCCUAUGAAGCUUUACUGUAACUUGAAAUUGGAAUUGGAUUUUGCUUGCGCAGUAUAGGUGGGAAGCGUUGAAGAUAUUCUUGCGGGAGUAUUGGAGCUAUCAGUGAGAUACCACUCUUGUAAUGUUAGAUUUCUAACUUUGAACCAUAAUCUGGUCAAAGAACAGUUUCAGGUGGGCAGUUUGACUGGGGCGGUCGCCUCCCAAAUGGUAACGGAGGCGUACAAAGGUUUCCUCUGAACGGAUAGAAAUCGUAUCUAGAGUGUAAAGGCAUAAGGAAGCUUGACUGUGAGACCUACAAGUCGAGCAGGGACGAAAGUCGGUCUUAGUGAUCUGACGGUACUGAGUGGAAAGGCCGUCACUCAACGGAUAAAAGUUACUCUAGGGAUAACAGGCUGAUCUCCCCCAAGAGUUCACAUCGACGGGGAGGUUUGGCACCUCGAUGUCGGCUCAUCGCAUCCUGGGGCGGUAGUACGUCCCAAGGGUUGGGCUGUUCGCCCAUGAAAGCGGUACGCGAGCUGGGUUCAGAACGUCGUGAGACAGUUCGGUCCAUAUCCGGUGUAGGCGCUAGAAUAUUGAGAGGAGCCUUCUUUAGUACGAGAGGACCGAGAAGGACACACCGCUGGUGUACCAGUUAUCGUGCCAACGGUAAACGCUGGGUAGCUAUGUGUGGAGUGGAUAACCGCUGAAAGCAUCUAAGUGGGAAGCCCACCUCAAGAUGAG
rnacentral:rRNA from 1 species